rnacentral:rRNA from 1 species
ACUUAAAUUGAAGAGUUUGAUCAUGGCUCAGAUUGAACGCUGGCGGCAGGCCUAACACAUGCAAGUCGAGCGGUAGCACAGAGAGCUUGCUCUCGGGUGACGAGCGGCGGACGGGUGAGUAAUGUCUGGGAAACUGCCUGAUGGAGGGGGAUAACUACUGGAAACGGUAGCUAAUACCGCAUAACGUCGCAAGACCAAAGUGGGGGACCUUCGGGCCUCAUGCCAUCAGAUGUGCCCAGAUGGGAUUAGCUAGUAGGUGGGGUAAC